rnacentral:rRNA from 1 species
AUGAAGGUUUUCGGAUCGUAAAGCUCUGUCUUUGGGGAAGAUAAUGACGGUACCCAAGGAGGAAGCCACGGCUAACUACGUGCCAGCAGCCGCGGUAAUACGUAGGUGGCGAGCGUUAUCCGGAUUUACUGGGCGUAAAGGGAGCGUAGGCGGGAGAUUAAGUCAGCUGUGAAAGUUCGGGGCUCAACCUUGGAAUUGCAGUUGAAACUGGUUUUCUUGAGUGCGGCAGAGGCAGGCGGAAUUCCUGGUGUAGCGGUGAAAUGCGUAGAGAUCAGGAAGAACAUCGGUGGGUCGACGCGGCC